CCCCUAAAUAGGGACUGGAAUGAACGGCUACAUGAAGACUUUACUGUCUCUUGCUGCUAGUCAAUGAAACUGAUCUCCCAGUACAAAAGCUGGAAUAACCUCAUAAGACAAAAAGACCCUGUGGAGCUUUUAAACCAAGUACACCAAAAUGUUCUAUCACGGUUUUUAGUUGGGGCGACUUCGGAAUAAAAUAAAACUUCCGAAACCAUGGAAUCAUGCCCAUAUUUAAGGCCAACACGCCAAGAUUAGUCACCUACUUGACCCAGUUUAUCACACACUGAUCAAUGAACCAAGUUACCCCAGGGAUAACAGCGCCAUCUUCUUUUAGAGUCCAUAUCGACAAGAAGGUUUACGACCUCGAUGUUGGAUCAGGACACCCAAAUAGUGCAGCCGCUAUUAAAGGUUCG
rnacentral:rRNA from 1 species